rnacentral:rRNA from 1 species
UACGAAGGGGGCUAGCGUUGCUCGGAAUCACUGGGCGUAAAGCGCACGUAGGCGGAUUGUUAAGUCAGGGGUGAAAUCCUGGAGCUCGACUCCAGAACUGCCUUUGAUACUGAGGAUCUUGAGUCCGGGAGAGGUGAGUGGAACUGCGAGUGUAGAGGUGAAAUUCGUAGAUAUUCGCAAGAACACCAGUGGCGAAGGCGGCUCACUGGCCCGGUACUGACGCUGAGGCACGAAAGCGUGGGGAGCAAACAGG